rnacentral:lncRNA from 1 species
UUUUCUCAGUGGGCUUCCUAGCUGUGUGUUCACUGGAAGAUGGAGGGCUGGUCCUCAGCACUUCCCUCCUGGACACUGAUGGCCUCCCGCCGCUGCAGAGUCUUCCUUGAGCCUCAUCAGCCCCGUCCUUGAUGCCGCGACCCAGGCCCCUGCAUCCGGGGUUCCGGGCGCGUCCCGCGUGUGGGGGGGGGUCUGAUUCUCCUGCAGGCUGGAAUUGGAGAACUACCAUCGUAGUCUCUAGAUGCAUUCUGUUUUUACUUUGCAGAAAGGGAAAGCACCUCUGCUUUGGGGCCAGGGAACGAGAAUCUCCACGUCGCCAUCACUGCGAGGGUCCUUGGAUUUCUGCAUGCUGGGCAUUGGAGUGUAACUCUCUUCAGAUAUGUCUUCUUCUCCCAGGAAAGGUGCGGUGGCCUCAGUGAUGUACACUGUGGUCACCCUUAUGCUGAAUCCCUUCAUCUGCAGUCUGAGGAACAGGGACAUUAAAAACACUUUAAAGAGGCUCCACAGCAGAAUAGUCUAAUCAGAAGACCUGUGGCAUCCAUCCGGAAUACAGGUUAUAGAAGUUAGAAGACUAAACAUCUAGAACUGUAAUAUUGCCACCUUGCUUAUAAUAUUUUUAUUGUGUGCAUGCUUUAAUGUCUCAUAUUGUUUACAAGUAAAUGGUGAUAUCCAAAUUGGGGAAUGAAGGCAUCAGGAGCUUCUAAUAUGUGGACAAAUUUUGAAUUUGACAAAUGAAUAAUUUAUUGGCAUGGAUACUCUUGAUAGUUUCACAACAAUUUCCUAUAGUUAAUGUAAAUUAAAAAUGGUUAAAAUG